GUUAUUAAAAGCUAAAACUACACUAACUAAAAACUUUAAUAUAGUUGAUUUGUGUAAACAAACAUUAUUAGUUGACAAGACAUCACAACAAUUUAUACUCUGUCGAUAUAGCACUAAAUUGUUGAACCCUAAAAUUACAAAAGAUCUCGGUCAAGUAGCAAUCACAAAUCUGGCUAAAUAAGCAAAACCACAAUUUUAUUAUUUGACCUGCACAAAAACAUUACGAAAAAAAAAAUUCAAAACACAAAAAAGAAAACAAGAAGAGGAUUGCAUGAGCCAAUUGUAUGAAAAUGAUAUCUAAAUGACAAAAGGGCUCCACUUUGGACCUAUUAUUUAUUCACCCUUGUUGACUGGGCUUUAAUUCUCACUUACAUCAUGUAUGCCCACGAAUGACAAAAAAUUC
rnacentral:lncRNA from 1 species